UUGCUGAAUUUGUUAGCUCUAGCAGUUUGUUGUGGAUUCUUUGGUAUUUUUUAUAUAGAGAGAAUCAUCUGCAAAUACAGAUAGGUUUAUUCUUCUUUUCCAAUUUGGAUGCCUUUUCUUUCUCUUGACUAAUUGCUCUGUUCAGAACUUCCAGUACAGUAUUGAGUGGCAGUGUGAAAGUGAGCAUCCUUGCCUCGUUCCUGAUCUUAGGGGGGAAGUCUUUCACCAUGGAGCAUGAUAUUAGUUGUGGAUUUUCCCAUAAAUGCCCUUUAUCAUAUUAAGGAAAUUCCCUUCUAUCCUUAAUAUGCUGAUUGUUUUGAUCAUGAAAGAGUGAGCCCAUUUUUUCUAAAGUGAAAGUUUGGCUCAAAGUAAUAAAGUGCUGACCUGAAAGAA
rnacentral:lncRNA from 10 species